rnacentral:rRNA from 1 species
GAUGAACGCUAGCGGCAGGCCUAAUACAUGCAAGUCGAGGGGUAACAUGAGAGCUUGCUCUUGAUGACGACCGGCGGACGGGUGCGUAACGCGUAUGCAACCUACCCACAACAGGGGGAUAGCCCGGAGAAAUUCGGAUUAAUACCCCAUAAUGCAGGGGUACCGCCUGGUACUAUUUGCUAAAGAUUUAUCGGUUGUGGAUGGGCAUGCGUCUGAUUAGUUAGUUGGUGAGGUAACGGCUCACCAAGACCACGAUCAGUAGGGGGUCUGAGAGGAUGAUCCCCCACACUGGCACUGAGAUACGGGCCAGACUCCUACGGGAGGCAGCAGUAGGGAAUAUUGGGCAAUGGGCGAGAGCCUGACCCAGCCAUGCCGCGUGAAGGAUGAAGGCCUUCUGGGUUGUAAACUUCUUUUAUACAGGAAGGAAAAGGUCAUGCGUGACCAAUUGACGGUACUGUAUGAAUAAGCACCGGCUAACUCCGUGCCAGCAGCCGCGGUAAUACGGAGGGUGCAAGCGUUGUCCGGAUUUAUUGGGUUUAAAGGGUGCGUAGGCGGUACGCUAAGUCAGUGGUGAAAUCCCGCAGCUCAACUGCGGAACUGCCAUUGAUACUG